CCUUUGAUGUUAGCGGCGGACGGGUGAGUAACACGUGGGUAACCUACCUAUAAGACUGGGAUAACUUCGGGAAACCGGAGCUAAUACCGGAUAAUAUUUCGAACCGCAUGGUUCGAUAGUGAAAGGUGGUUUUGCUAUCACUUAUAGAUGGACCCGCGCCGUAUUAGCUAGUUGGUAAGGUAACGGCUUACCAAGGCGACGAUACGUAGCCGACCUGAGAGGGUGAUCGGCCACACUGGAACUGAGACACGGUCCAGACUCCUACGGGAGGCAGCAGUC
rnacentral:rRNA from 1 species